rnacentral:lncRNA from 1 species
CUUUUCUUAUUUCCAGUACGACCGCCGGCCAAGGGCCAGCAGGUGGCGCCGCGGGCCCAGGCUGAGGCUGAGGUCUCUGUCCGCGGGUACCUGACGGGGCCUGGCCCGCUCUGCGCAGCGCAGCGCGUGGCCGCUCCGUCGGCCCCGGUGCCGGUGACGCUUCCAGGUGUCUUAGGGCCCAGCUCGCCGAGCCGGGCUCGGGGCAGCCCCGAGCGGAAUGAGGGAGCGGGCCGGCCGGAGCAGGCGGAGUUGUUAAAGAAAGUGAACAGGAAAAAGAACACAGUGACACCAACAGGAGUCCUGGAGGAGACGAUGCCAAAGCUGCCGAGUGGCCAGCACGUUCCAUUAAGUGUGAGGAAGCAGAGGACAGCUCGCUGCUCCCAGCUGCAACCAGAAACAACGGAGAGCAGUGGCACCUGGGAGCCUGGUGUGGAAGAGGCUGGGCGUGGGCCACCAGGACCAUCUUAUAGAUGGGAGACUGGAGGGCACCUCCACAGCUGCAGGUGUCGGUGCUAAAAACGGAUUAUAGAGACUGGUCCGUUUUGCCCUUGUUAGCAUGCUUGUAGCAAUGGGUCUGAAGUCCCAUGUUAGGUGGCAUGGAGCUCCUCCCAGCAAGAUGUGGAGGAAGGCAGGCCAGCUACAUAAAGGUGAAGAGACGCUGAAAGGGGGAUACUGAACACUCUGGCCUGUAACCAUGGCAAGCAGAUUGCUGCUUUUAAGAGCAGCUGAAGAAAUGAAAUUGCAUUUGAGUGGUGAGAGAAUAAAGGAAGGAUGAGUUGGUGUUAAUAGAGAAGA